rnacentral:rRNA from 1 species
GAUCAUGGCUCAGGAUGAACGCUAGCUACAGGCUUAACACAUGCAAGUCGAGGGGCAGCAUGGUCUUAGCUUGCUAAGGCUGAUGGCGACCGGCGCACGGGUGAGUAACACGUAUCUAACCUGCCGUCUACACUUGGCCAGCCUUCUGAAAGGAAGAUUAAUCCAGGAUGGAUCAUGAGUUCACAUGUCCGCAUGAUUAAAGGUAUUUUCCGGUAGACGAUGGGGA